rnacentral:piRNA from 1 species
UCUGGAAACAGCUCUGCCGCGAGAAAGAC